rnacentral:rRNA from 1 species
UACAGAGGGGGCAAGCGUUGUUCGGAAUUACUGGGCGUAAAGGGCGCGUAGGCGGCCUGCUAAGUCGAACGUGAAAUCCCUGGGCUCAACCCAGGAACUGCGUCCGAUACUGGUUGGCUUGAAUCCGGGAGAGGGAUGUGGAAUUCCAGGUGUAGCGGUGAAAUGCGUAGAUAUCUGGAGGAACACCGGUGGCGAAGGCGACAUCCUGGACCAACACUGACACUGAGGAGCGAAAGCCAGGGGAGCAAACGGG